AUAACAUUUCCGCUUAAAUAUCUUUCCUGAAGACUGGAAAGUACAAAGUCAAGGCGCUCACAUCUGGUGAGGGCCUUCUUGCUGUGUCAUCUCAUGUUGGAAGGGUAGGAGAACACAUGCACAUGUGCAAAAUAAGCCAAAUUCAUUUUUAUAACAAAACUAUUUCUUCCAAUAAUGAAAUUAAUUCAUUUAUUUGGGCAGAGCCCUCAUGACCAUGACCAAAUCACCUCUUAUUAGGUCCCAUCUCCCAACAUUAUUGGAUUUGGGGUUAAGUUUUCGACAUAUGAAAUUUGGGGGACACACUUAAGCCAUAGUACUAUCCAAAAAAAAUUCAACACAAUACAUAUGAAAAUUACAAUAACAUUUUUUACAGAAAUAGGAAAUAAUUUCUAAAAUUUGCAUAGAACUAAUCAAGAUCCCAAAUAUCCAAGGCAAUGUUGAGCAAAAAGUUAGAGGUCUCACACUAUUUGACUUUAAAUCUACAGCAACCAAAAGAAAAUGGUAUUGGCAUAAAAAUAUACACAUAGGGCAAGGAAGCUGAAUAGAGAGCCCCAAAGUAAAUCCAUGAUAUUAUGGUCAGUUAAGUUUCAACAAAGUUGCCAUGAACACAAAAUGGGGAAAGAAGACUCUUCUUAAUAGUGUUGAGAAAACUGAAUAUUCACAUAUAGAAGAAUGAGAUUGGAUCCUUAGUUCAUACCAUACAAAAAAUCAACUCAGAAUGGAUUGAAGAUUUAAACAUAAGACCUGAAAUUAUAAAUCUACUGGAAGCACACACAGGAUUGAAAAGCUCCUUGACAUUAGUCUCAGCGAAUAUUUUUAGGAUAUGAACUUAAAAGCACUGGCAAUAAAAGCAAAAACAGGCAAUAGAUAUUACAUCAAAUUAAAAACCUUCAGCCCAGCAAAGGUAACAAUCAAUAGUGUGAAGAGACAACCUAUGAAAUGGGAGAAAAGAUGUCCAAGCCAUACAUCUUAUAAGGAGUUAUCCAAAAUAUAACGUACAAUACAAUAGCAAGGAAACACAUAACCCAAUUAAAACAUGGGCAAAGAAUCUGAAUAGACAUUUCCAAAACAAAGACAUACAAAUGACCGGCAGGUAUAUUAAAAAAUGAUUAACAUCACUAAUCAUCAGAGGAUUGCAAAGUAAAACCACAAUGAGAUAUUGCCUCGUGUCUGUUACAAUGGCUAUUAUCGAAAAGUUGAAAGAUAAGUGUUUGCAAAGAUGUGGAGAAAAGGGAACCCUUACACACUGUUGGUGAGAAUGUAAGUUACCACGGCCAUGACAGAGAACAGUAAGAGGCUUCCCAAAAAAUUAAAAGUAGAACUAACCUAUGAUCCAGCAAUGGCACUUCUGGGUAUAUACCAAAGUAAUUGAAAUUAGUAUUUCACAGAGUUAUCUGCACUCCCCUGUUCAUUGCAGCAUUAUUCAAAAUAGCCAAGAUAUGGAAUCAAUGUAAGGGUUCCUUCAUGUAUAAAUGGAUACAAAUGUGGUGUAUAUACAGAUGGUCCUCAACUUAGAAUAGUUCGGUUUAUGAUUUUUUGACUUUAUGAUGGUGCAAAAGUGAUAACACAUUCAGUAGAAACCAUAUUUCGAGUAUACAAUCACACAAUUGUAACCUUCAGUACAUUAUUCAAUAAAUUACAUGAGAUAUUCAAUACUUUGUUAUAAAAUAGGCUUUAUGUUAGAAGAUUUUUGUCUAACUGUAGCUAAUGUGAGUGCUUUGAGCAUAUUUAAGAUAAGUUGUGCUAGAUAUGAUGUUCCAUAGGUUAGGUGUAUUCAAUGUGUUUUUGACAUAUAUUUUCAACUCAUGACAGGUUAACUGGGACAUAACACCAUCAUAAGUCAAGGAACAUCUGCAUAUACAGUAGAUUACCAUUUAACCAUAAAAAAAGGAAGUCCUAUUUUUGGAAUAACAGACAAAAGUGGAGAACAUUCUGCUAAGUGAAAUAAACCAAGCACAAAAAGAAAUGUACUGCAUGAUGUCACUUAUAUGUGGAAUCUAAAACAAGUCAAACUCAUAGAAGCAGAAAGAGUAGAAUGGUGGCUACCAGGAGCUGAGGGUGAGGGCUGGGUAGAUGGGAAAAUGUUGGUUAAAGGGUACAAAGUUUCAAUUAGACAGGAUAAAUAAGCAUGGGAGAUUUAUGGUGUAUGGUAACUGCAGUUAAUAAUAGUGUAUUGUACAUUUGAAAGUUGCUAAUAAAAGCAGAUCUUAAAUGUUCUCACAAUAGAAAAUUAUAGGAAUGUGAGGUAAUGUGCUUGUUAAUUAGCUUUAACCAUUUCACAGUGGAUACACAUAUCAAAGCAUCAUGUUGUCCACUGUAAAGAUAUACAAUUUUUAUUUGUCAAGUACACUUUAAUGAAAAAAUAUAUUUAAUAGAUAGAUGUUUGUAGAUAAUUCCAUGGAUUAAAGUAAAUUGCAAUGUUUUGUGUAAUGUUAAAGGGAGUAAAGCAGAAGCAAUUGUGCUGGAGCUCACCAGGAGAGGCCCGCCUCAUGACUGACCUUUGUAACUUGUUCCUUCCAACCACAGCUUCAUUCCAUUAAUGCUACUCAGCAACCACGUCUGGAAAACUUACUUCCAGGCCCUGUGUUUUGUCAGGGCUAAGAUGAGGAAAUUUACAAACACACAUGUAAACACAUCUAAGCCCCCCUUAAUGCCACGGGGGGUUACUAAGUUAUAAUAUACACUCUGAGAACAGAGAUCUGGUCUCAAAUGAGAGUUACAACACUUCAAAUCAUGUCUGAUCCUACACCCAGGUUUUUUUCCAUGCCUAAGUAGAAAUGUACCUUAUAACUAUUAUUUGAGCUAAAAUAAUCCUUAAAGAACAUUCCUUGAAUUAUCUAAUGUAUUGUAACAUUUAAAUUAAUGUCCAAAUAUAUGUUAUAAUGACAGUUAGGUCUGCUCCCCACAAGUCUUUCCUUAUCACCCAAAAAAAUCACCACUCCCUCCAUUUCUUCAUAGUCCUUCAGGUCAUUUAUUUCUUCAUAGCGCUUAUCACUACUGUCAUCAUGUCAUAGACUGUGUGUUUAUCUGCUGAUUGAAUCCCCUAUAAAUGUCAACUUUGUUAGGAUAAAGAUUUGCCGGUCUUGUUCACUACAGUGUCUCCAGCACCUAAGCCAUUUCUGGAGUAUAGUAGAAGCUUUAUUUUUUAAAAAGUUAAAUGAAUUAAUGGAAAAGGUACAGAUGGAUGAACAAUGAAUGAAGGGAGUUGUUAA
rnacentral:lncRNA from 1 species